CCUACGGGCGGCAGCAGUGGGGAAUAUUGCACAAUGGGCGAAACCCUGAUGCAGCGAAGCCGCGUGAGUGAAGACUUAACUCGGUGUGUUAAGCUCUAUUAGCAGGGAAGAAAAUGACGGUACGUGAGUAAGAAUCCCCGGCUAACUACGUGCCAGCAGCCGCGGUAAUACGUCGGGGGCAAGCGUUAUCCGGAUUUACUGGGUGUAAAGGGAGCGUAGACGGCAGUGCAAGUCUGUAGUGAAAGGCGGGGGCUCAACCCCCGGACUGCUCUGGAAACUGUACGGCUGGAGUGCAGGAGAGGUAAGCGGAAUUCCUAGUGUAGCGGUGAAAUGCGUAGAUAUUAGGAGGAACACCAGUGGCGAAGGCGGCUUACUGGACUGUAACUGACGUUGAGGCUCGAAAGCGUGGGGAGCAAACAGGAUUAGAUACCCUUGUAGUC
rnacentral:rRNA from 1 species